rnacentral:tRNA from 1 species
GCCCUCCAUAGCUCAGUCAGUAGAGCAUGAGACUCUUAAUAUCAGGGUUGUGGGUUCAAGCCCCACGUUGGGUA